UCCCUAGCCCGGCGUGGCGCGCGCCCGCUCCCAUUUCCAUGGCGACGGGAACGCCGCCGGUUCCGCGGCCGCUGCGGCCCCGGUAACCGGGAUCACCAGGGAGAGCGGCUGCGGCCUAUCUCUGCCCAAAACAAUUCCCAAAUGGACACUGCAGAAGCGGCUGCUGCGUUUCUUUGGCACGUCUGUAUCCUCUACCACAGCUGCCUGAUCAUACAUGGGUGUUUGUAUCAAGCAGUGAAGAGGGUCUAGUUGCAGGAGCAACCACCUGCCAGGCACACAGGUACGGAGAGGUGUGAUUACAGAGAAUUGCAGAAAACUACUUUUCCCCUGCUAUUUUUGAUCCAGCUGGCAAGAAUUGUAAAG